AGCUGGUUGGCAGAGUGGUCUAAUGCUGCGGACGUAUUCCGUAGAAACUUUGAAAUACUGAAGGCCAAAGUAGAUCGAAGCUUACGCAGGUUCGAAUCCUGCACCAGCAU
rnacentral:tRNA from 1 species